rnacentral:lncRNA from 1 species
GCUCUUAGGAGGAGACAAGCAGCAUGGAUUGAAUAGUGGCUACAUACUUGCACUAGCAUUUCUUGGUGCCAAAGUUGUAGAGACCAUGUGUCACAGACAAUGGAUGUUUGGAGCCCUACAGCUUGUAAUGCGCUUAAGAGCUGUUCUAAUAUCCCAUAUAUACAAAAAGGGCAUCGUUUUAUCAAGCCAGUCUCGGCAGAGCCUAACAAGUGGGGAGAUUAUCAACUACAUGAGUGUGGAUAUCCAAAGGAUUACUGACCUGAUGUGGUUUUCAAACAUCAUUUGGAUGCUUCCUGUCCAGCUUGCACUAGCAAUAUAUGUUCUUCAUAAAAAUCUUGGAGUUGGAGCUUUGGCUGCAUUUGCAGCAACAACAAUGAUAAUGGUAUGCAAUAUUCCCUUAACUAGAGCACAAAAAAGAUAUCAGAGCAGAAUCAUGGAAGCUAAAGAUGCACGAAUGAAAGCAACUGCAGAAGUCCUGCGAAACAUGAAAAUCUUAAAACUUCAAGCCUGGGAUCUGCCAUACCUUCACAAGUUAGAAGGCCUGAGAAACACUGAGCACAAUUGGCUGUGGAUGUCUCUAAGACUGAAAGCAAUUUCAUCUUUUAUAUCCUGGGGAGCACCGAUGUUCAUAUCAGUGGUGACUUUCGGAACAUGUAUAAUCAUAGGAAUCCCUCUAACUGCAGGAAGAGUUUUGUCUGCAUUGGCAACAUUCGGAAUGCUGCAAGAACCAAUAUUUACUCUCCCCAAUAUGCUUUCAGUACUUGCACAAGGAAAAGUUUCAGGUGACAGAAUAGCAAAGUACCUGCUAGAAGACGAAAUGAGAGCCGACGUGGUUGAAAUUGUCCCCAGAAAUGAAGCAGAGGUUGAUGUUGAGAUUGAUCGUGGGACAUUUAGCUGGAACCAAGACUCUGUAUGCCCG